CGUGUAGGAACCUACCUUCGAGCGGGGGAGUAACUUAGGGAAACGUUAAGCUAAUACCGCAUAAUAUCGAAAGAUCAAAGUUGGGGAGUCGUAAGACCUGACACUCAAAGAAGGGCCUACAUUAGAUUAGCUUGUUGGUAAGGUAAAGGCUUACCAAGGCUACGAUCUAUAGCUGGUUUGAGAGGACGACCAGCCACACUGGGACUGAGACACGGCCCAGACUCCUACGGGAGGCGGCAGUGGGGAAUCUUGGACAAUGGGGGCAACCCUGAUCCAGCGAUGCCGCGUGUGUGAAGAAGG
rnacentral:rRNA from 1 species